rnacentral:rRNA from 1 species
UCGUGGGUUGACCUGUCUGCUUGAUUGCGAUAACGAACGAGACCUCCACCUACUAACUACAGUACCUGUGCUUCACAGGUGGCUGUUCUUAAUGGGACUAUCGGUGCAAACCGAAGGAAGCUGGAGGCAAUAACA